UGGGAAUCUUCCGCAAUGGACGAAAGUCUGACGGAGCAACGCCGCGUGUAUGAUGAAGGUCUUCGGAUUGUAAAGUACUGUCAUUGGGGAAGAACGGUUUUCUUGAAAAGAUUGAGAAGACAUGACGGUACCCAAGGAGGAAGCCCCGGCUAACUACGUGCCAGCAGCCGCGGUAAUACGUAGGGGGCAAGCGUUGUCCGGAAUUAUUGGGCGUAAAGGGCGCGUAGGCGGGCCUUUAAGUCCGGUGUGAAAGAUCAGGGCUCAACCCUGAGAGUGCAUCGGAAACUGGAGGCCUUGAGGACAGGAGAGGAAAGUGGAAUUCCACGUGUAGCGGUGAAAUGCGUAGAUAUGUGGAGGAACACCAGUGGCGAAGGCGACUUUCUGGACUGUAACUGACGCUGAGGCGCGAAAGCGUGGGGAGCAAACAGGAUUAGAUACCCUGGUAGUCCACGCCGUAAACGAUGAGUGCUAGGUGUAGAGGGUAUCGACCCCCUUCUGUGCCGCAGUUAACACAAUAAGCACUCCCGCCUGGGGAGUACGGCCGCAAGGUUGAAACUUAAAUGAAUUGACGGGGUCAUAGCUGUUUCCU
rnacentral:rRNA from 1 species